CUCAGCCAGUCUCCCCUUACGCCAUUUUGUUUUUACUGUGAUUAUUUUCCAUUUCAGGCAAGAUGCGGAGAGUGGAGGGUGGAUCACAAGCAGCAAGGACAGGGAGACUGGUGAGAAUUGAGGAAAUGGUGAAUGCAGCCAAGUACAGAGAGGUCCUUCAAGAAAACGCGAUCUCAGACUGGGGCGACUGUUCACCUUUCAGCACGGCAAUGAGCUGGAGUGACUCUCCUUGAGUUGUCCAGCCAAAGCCCAGACUCAUAGACCAAUUGUGGAGAGACCUGCAGAUGGCAGUUCACCGAUGCUUCUAAUCAAAUCUGACAGAGCUUGAGAGGAUCUGCCAGGAAGAAUGGGAUGAACUACCCAAAUCCAGGUGCUCUUUAGGAUUGAGGUGCUGUGGAGCAGACUAUGGAGGUCAUUGGAGUACACUGAAUUCAUUGUUAUGUUCCUGAACCAGCUUGAACGUGUUAUCCUGCAGGAAGUAGCUAUCGGAAGGUGGGUAGACUGUGGCGAUAAAGAGAUGCACAUGGUCGCCAACAAUACUAGGCUGUGGCAUUUAAACAACACUUAAUUUAGUAUUAAGGGGCAUAAUGUUUCCAACAAAACAUUCCCCACACAACAAUUACACCACCAGCCUGAACUGUUGACACAAAGCAAGAUGGAUCCAUGUUGUUUAUGACCCUUCCAUCUGCAUGUUACAGCAGAAAUCGAGAUUUCAGACCAGGUUAAGUUUUUACAAUCUUCAACUGUCCAGUUUUGGUGACCCAGCUGUGGCUUUGGCUUCCUGUUUUUUGCUAACAGGAGUGGAACUCGGUGUGGUCUUCUGCUGCUGUUGCACAUCCUUCAGAUUUGACAUGUUGUGGGUUCAGAGAUGCUUUUCUACAUACCACUGUUGUAACGCAUGGUUAUUUGAGUUGCUGUCACCUUCCUGUCAGCUUUGACCAGUCUGGCCAUUCUCCUCUGACCUCUCAUUAAAAAGGUGUUUCCGCCUACAGAA